AAAGUCUACCAUUUGGGACUUUCUUAGGCUAUCCACAUCAGCAACUCUUCCAUGGUUGAUCCACAUCAGCAUCCUCAAAAUUAACUUCUUCUUCCACUAUGAUUCGGCAGUUACAUCCUCCUGAUUUUCAAUUUCCACUAUCCUCAUAACUACCCUUAAACCCCAUCCUCUUUCACGGUUACGAAACUUUCCAUCUCCCCCUUCCAAUCUUCUUCUACAGCGGUUUCAGACAACCAUUUAUCUUUCAUUGGGCUUCUGAUUUAUUCGUCUUUUCUCUCUUUCAACUUUGAUUUUGAUUUAGUUUUCAAAGUUUCAGGUUUCAUCGUGUUGGCUCACGCGGAAGAGGAAAGAUUCAUCGCCGAUACAGUUUCUGAUGAUGCGUCGGUGUUGGUUGUGGUGGACGGAGAUUAAUACUCUAAAAGAGGUUCGAUGAUGAAGCACAAGUUUGCUUGGCCAUAAAAAAGAAAGGAUGGCAAUGAGAGAGAUUGAUCGGUUCUUUUUAGUAUUUUGAUUUUGUUUAUGCUUUGAAUUUCAGGUGGCUGUUCGUUUUGAUUUGGGAUUCUAAUGUUGUGUCAGGAGGGAUAAAGUACGGGAAUGGUAUAACAUGGUAUAUCUUGCCAUCAUUUCAGUAUUUGGAUGGGCUUAUAGCUUGCCACUUACAUUCAGCAUUCAGG